GGUUCUUCAGGUUUUUGUUGAAGCAUUGAGUUGAGAUGUAUCACUGUGCUUACUUUGACUACUGGGGUCAAGGGAUGCAGUCACUGUUAAUUCAGGAACUGCACCGACUCUGUUCCCUGUGGUUCAAUGCGGCUCUGGGACUGGAAAUCAAAUCACUGUUGGUUGUCUGGCUCAUGACUUCAUCCCAAAGAGUACUUUCCAGUGGACGGAUGACAGCGGGACCAGUUUACCUUCUGUACAAUAUUCUACAACUGUCAAUGACAACAAAUUCACAGGUCUUAGUCUGGCCCGAGUAUCCAAAUCUGACUGGGAUUCAGGGAACUCUUUUAACUGUGCUUUGACGUAUCCUGGAGGAUCCAAAAGUGUCAAAGUUGAAAUGCCCGAACUCCCUCCAAAGAUAACGUUGGCAUUGGUGCCAAGAGGAGACACUCAGGCUCUGAUGUGUUCAAUUUAUGAUUUUUUUCCCAAUGAAUUGACGGUAAAAUGGAAGAAAAAUGAAAUAGAAGAAACUGGCUUCACUACU